GACGAACGCUGGCGGCGUGCUUAACACAUGCAAGUCGAACGGAAAGGCCCUGCUUUUGUGGGGUGCUCGAGUGGCGAACGGGUGAGUAACACGUGAGUAACCUGCCCUUGACUUUGGGAUAACUUCAGGAAACUGGGGCUAAUACCGGAUAGGAGCUCCUGCUGCAUGGUGGGGGUUGGAAAGUUUCGGCGGUUGGGGAUGGACUCGCGGCUUAUCAGCUUGUUGGUGGGGUAGUGGCUUACCAAGGCUUUGACGGGUAGCCGGCCUGAGAGGGUGACCGGCCACAUUGGGACUGCGGUACGGCCCAGACUCCUACGGGAGGCAGCAGUGGGGAAUAUUGCACAAUGGGCGGAAGCCUGAUGCAGCAACGCCGCGUGCGGGAUGACGGCCUUCGGGUUGUAAACCGCUUUCGCCUGUGACGAAGCGUGAGUGACGGUAAUGGGUAAAGAAGCACCGGCUAACUACGUG
rnacentral:rRNA from 1 species